UAUGGAACGGAUGAUGGCUUACGAAAAUCUACUUUUUUUAUAUAUUUAGUUGAAUUUAUCCUUUAAGGGAAAAAACUUAAAUAACCUAGGAAGACGAGAAGCCCUUAUAGAGUUUUAUAUAAUAGUAAACUUAUUUUGUAUUAGAUUUAAUUCGAUUUAAUUCUGCAUUAUAAUUUGUUGGGGCGACAUUAAGAUAAAAAAAACUCUUUUUUAUUUAAACUUUAAUAAAAGAAACUUUUGAUCCUUUAAAAAAGAUUAUAAGAAAAAUUACCUUAGGGAUAACAGCGUAAUCUUCUUUGAGAGUUCUAAUCGACAAGAAGGUUUGCGACCUCGAUGUUGGACUAAAAUUUAGGUGUGGUGCAGCAGCUUCACUUUUGGGUCUGUUCGACCCGUAAUAUUUUACAUGAUCUGAGUUCAGACCGGCGUGAGCCAGGUUGGU
rnacentral:rRNA from 1 species